GGCUGGAUCACCUCCUUUUGAGCAUGACGUCAUCGUCUUGCGGGCGUCCUCACAAAUUACCUGCAUUCAGAGAUGCGUACCGGCACAGGUCGGUAUGCGAAAGUCCCAUCAUGGGGCCUUAGCUCAGCUGGGAGAGCACCUGCUUUGCAAGCAGGGGGUCGUCGGUUCGAUCCCGACAGGCUCCACCAGAUUCGCAGAUCCCUCUGCAAGAGCCCGCACAUUCGUGUGCGGACUGUCCAGGAAAAGCGAGAGCACUAGACUUUGGGUCUGUAGCUCAGGUGGUUAGAGCGCACCCCUGAUAAGGUGAGGUCGGUGGUUCGAGUCCUUCCAGACCCACCACUCUGAAUGUAGUGCACACUUAAGUAAACGAAAUUAUACGAUCACAGCGUUGAGGCUGGUACUGUGUCUUUAUAAUGACGUACGAGCGUUUGAGAUAUCUAUCUAAACGUGUCGUUGAGGCUAAGGCGGGGACUUCAAGUUGCACUCCAUAAUUGAGUCGUAUGUUCGCGUUGGUGGCUUGGUACCCCACACACACGUUCAUAUAGCUCCGAGGCCGCACUGGGGUUAUA
rnacentral:misc_RNA from 1 species